CUGGGAUAAGCGCUGGAAACGGCGUCUAAUACUGGAUAUGUGACGUGACCGCAUGGUCUGCGUUUGGAAAGAUUUUUCGGUUGGGGAUGGGCUCGCGGCCUAUCAGCUUGUUGGUGAGGUAAUGGCUCACCAAGGCGUCGACGGGUAGCCGGCCUGAGAGGGUGACCGGCCACACUGGGACUGAGACACGGCCCAGACUCCUACGGGAGGCAGCAGUGGGGAAUAUUGCACAAUGGGCGAAAGCCUGAUGCAGCAACGCCGCGUGAGGGAUGACGGCCUUCGGGUUGUAAACCUCUUUUAGCAGGGAAGAAGCGAAAGUGACGGUACCUGCAGAAAAAGCGCCGGCUAACUACGUGCCAGCAGCCGCGGUAAUACGUAGGGCGCAAGCGUUAUCCGGAAUUAUUGGGCGUAAAGAGCUCGUAGGCGGUUUGUCGCGUCUGCUGUGAAAUCCCGAGGCUCAACCUCGGGCCUGCAGUGGGUACGGGCAGACUAGAGUGCGGUAGGGGAGAUUGGAAUUCCUGGUGUAGCGGUGGAAUGCGCAGAUAUCAGGAGGAACACCGAUGGCGAAGGCAGAUCUCUGGGCCGUAACUGACGCUGAGG
rnacentral:rRNA from 1 species